rnacentral:rRNA from 1 species
AUUGAACGCUGGCGGCAUGCCUUACACAUGCAAGUCGAACGGCAGCACGGGUGCUUGCACCUGGUGGCGAGUGGCGAACGGGUGAGUAAUACAUCGGAACAUGUCCUGUAGUGGGGGAUAGCCCGGCGAAAGCCGGAUUAAUACCGCAUACGAUCCACGGAUGAAAGCGGGGGACCUUCGGGCCUCGCGCUAUAGGGUUGGCCGAUGGCUGAUUAGCUAGUUGGUGGGGUAAAGGCCUACCAAGGUGACGAUCAGUAGCUGGUCUGAGAGGACGACCAGCCACACUGGGACUGAGACACGGCCCAGACUCCUACGGGAGGCAGCAGUGGGGAAUUUUGGACAAUGGGCGAAAGCCUGAUCCAGCAAUGCCGCGUGUGUGAAGAAGGACUUCGGGUUGUAAAGCACUUUUGUCCGGAAAGAAAUCCUUGACUCUAAUACAGUCGGGGGAUGACGGUACCGGAAGAAUAAGCACCGGCUAACUACGUG